AACACGUGUGGACCUGAAUUGUGAUAACUGCAGUGGCCAAAACAAGAACAAGUGUGUGCUCUGGUAUUGUGCCUGGUGGACAAUGCACAAGCGCCACCAGUCUGGACCUUCACUUCCUGAUCACAGGCCACACCAAGUUUGCCCCCCCGACUGGGGCUUCGGCCUCAUCGAGCAGCGCUUCAGAAAGACCUGAAUGAACACUUUGUCUGAGAUUGCUGGUGUUGUGAAGAACAGCACUAUGACAGGGGUCAACAGCCCACAGCUGGUUGGACUGGAGGAUGGAACACUGUUGGUGGAAAGAUAUGGCUGGCAACAACACCUGAAGCAGGACCAGCACUUCAGGUACAAGUAGAAAUUCAAUGUGCAUGGAUAUGAAGUCUCUGUACAGGGCCAGUGAAGACCACCCACAACGCAUCCUGUUGACAGACUGGCCAGGUGCACCUCUUGACUCUAAGGCAUCCUGGUGGUUCUGGAGACAGGGGACCAAGAGAGACAGACAAGAGUUUUAGGACACUGCAUAGUAUAGGCCUAACUACGCAAGUUAAUUCCAAACAUUACAUGUUCAAUUGUUUGGCGGGUACAAUUUAAAAAGAGACCUUGUGGCUACACAUUCAAUGAAAUCAUAUUUUUCCAAACAGCCAUUGUGGGCAGUAACAUUUUCAUACAGCCUGUACUGUACACUUUUUACACAAGCUGCGAGUGACAAUGUCAGGAAAGUAGCUGCACGAAUGUAUUUACGAAUAAAUUGCAUGCAAGUCAAUAUCCAAACCUUGUAUGGACGCAUGGAGUGUGAUGUUAAAUUAGUUGUGUAACUAGUCAACGUUAGCUAGCUACUGCGUUAUAUUCUAUGAAAAAACGUGCCAAACACAGCACUCACUUUCAGUCUGGUGGUAAAUUUACUUCGUGAUUUUGAGCUUUUGUUUCCGAGUGCAUCUUCAAUAAAUAUCAAUGAACAAUGUUUGCAAUUA